rnacentral:lncRNA from 1 species
CAAACCCUAGCAUAGUGCAUGUUCGUCUACGGGUAGCCCUUUCCUACUCGAGCCCCCUCACCAUGCCCAAAUGCUAGGUCGGCUCUGAUACCAAAUAUAAUGACUCGGGUCUGAUGGGCUAACUAGCCUAUCAACUUCGUUUGGUCUAAACCACUGACCAAAAUGCUUAAGCUGAAGUUGAUAGUAGAACACUCAUCAGACCCUUAUAAGUCAAUCUUAAUUCUGCCCACUUUCGAUGUGGGACUAAUCAUGGGUGUUACAGUAAGUGUUGCAUUUAGGGACAUACUCAGAAAGCAAGGUUCAAAGAGAAAAUGUAAGUGAAUGAGCAUAAUUAUAUGUGCAUAAAUAAUAGAGUUAUGAAAUUAAAGAAACUUGUCAAAAAUUAAACAAUAUAGUAACAUUUACAGGUUGGUUUGGCAGUAGAGAACUAGAGAUCAUAAAUGUAAACCUGUGGAUUUGUGACUGCAUAAUAAUAAGGAGAUGCAGUGUGAAAAACACCAUCACAACCCUCAACCACAACAUCAAAGGACCCCUCUUCUGAUAAGUUGGCUUUAAACAAAAGCAACCUCUCAGUGGCUCCCUCCAGAGCACGCAAGUGCUGAGUCUUCUUUUGAUCAGCUGACAAGAAUGAUUUCAAAAUAUUGAAAAGAAGACAUAAGAAUUAAGAUGGAGAGGAAGUAUACAAAUAUAUAAUCUUAUACCAUCAAUAUAAUUAUUAUAUUAAGGGUCCCAACAUGAUUUCAGUCAGCAAUAUUAAAGGAAGAUCAGAUUACAGUCAGGGUAAUUUAGGUUUCUUCCUACAAGAUAUAUCCAAUAAACCUGGUGUUUUAGGCAAAGGCUAUGGAAUGUAAAGCAAUAGGCAAACAGAGUAGGAUCAUUUGCAUGCAUAUUUACAAUAAAAGAAUCUUUCAAGGAAACAAACAUCGAGCAGGAAAAUAUCAUGUAAAUCAGUUUUCCAUGGAUUGAUGCAUUGAGCAGGAAAAUACUUCAUAACUACUACUCUCUUGUUAGUGCAAACUGUAGUCAAUUGAAAAAUAUUAAAUAAGUAUAAUCUUAUAAGCCCCCAUCUAAAUUUUAAGCCCAUUAAUCAGAAACGGUAAUCAUUUGCACAUUCAGGAUUGUUACUUGUUUUCAUUUCUAAUAGUCGGAUACUCAGCCGAAUGAUGAUUACCUUCAAUCUUUUUGCACUGUUUUUUUAAUUUUGAAAGUUACACACACCACAAACAGACGUCAUUUUGGAUAUACCCCAAGAACAGUUUCAUAUUUGAUCAAUUCAGAUCAUGAUGCAGAUGUGUGACUCACAACAUCCGGAAUAAAUAACAUAGGCUUCCCACUCCUUUGUUCUUAGAAUUCGAGCUCACGCAAUCAUCUUGUGGGAUUGCAAAAGGUCCGAAAACAUUUAGAAGGGAAAAGAUCCAAACGAUCGAGAGUGUGUUAGAUGAGUCGAAUCUAAUCUUCAGAAGAAUACCGAGUUUAGCACGAACCCGGGUCACGCACGGAGGCGCGGACGGUGUAGCCGCGCUGGAGGAGGAACUUCACAAGCCACGAGGCGAUGAAGCCGGACGCGCCCGUGACACACACCACCUUCCCGCCGCCGCUCAUCGUGACUACAACUCUCGCUCGGCCGGGCGCUGUUUUAGUGGAAGAGCAGGCAAAGGAUCGCAGUGGUCUGUUGAGAAGGCCGCUCCUCUGCGGCAUAAAUAGGGCGACAAAGGCGGAACAUAAUUACCAGACGGCCAACUACAUCCGCUGCUCUUAACACUAACAUCACAUGACGUUACGACUUACGACACCUGCCUGCGGCGGCGCAUCGCAACUUGCGUAAGCAGCAAUUGCGAGAGAUAUAUAUAUAUAUAUAUAUAUACCUUUGUGCAUAUUGUUGCCUUGUGUCAGCCAACAAAGACAAUUAGUAUCGUAUUGGCUGAUAAAUAUUGUGUUAGCAAUAUAAUAGCGAACGUAGGCAGUCUAUAAUUAAUUUGACCUAGAUGACCUGAUUAUUCAACAUUUCCCCUGCUUAUUACAAAUUGAUGCAUGUUCAUCUGUUUUGAUUCACAAGAUUUCACUCUGAUCAUCGAUUCGGUGUUUGCAGGGAACUCUCGACGGGUGCGAUCCUUCAAGCACUGAGAGACGAAACAAUGAACGAUCCUUGCGAUCGAAUUGAGCUGGCAUUGAGUCAUGCUUUCGACAGGCCAUCACUUUUGGGUCAGCCAUGACCGACGAUGUCGACUUCGAUGCGCUGUCAUGCUCGUUGUUCAGCUUGAUGAGUUUUGCAGUCGGAGUAAUAGGGUCUUUUUUCUUUUGUUGUCUGAAUCAAAUGUCAACUAUCUACUUUAUCGAACAGCCAUUGAUUGAUAUGACAGUCCAUGCUCGUCGUGUGACUUGAAAUCGUGAUGUAGCUAUGUGACAUCCAAGUCGAAUAUUACAAGAGUGUACUUGAAAGUUUCUCACAGGUGCAUAAGAAUUGAACACAAGGUAUGAAAGAGAGAUGCAAUGUACUUUUGGUAUCUCUAUCGUUCCAAGUGAGUGAUAGAUAACGUAGCCGUUUGGCUAAAAAUAACGCCUCAUCGGUUGUCUGUAGUUGUCGAUAAGUGGCACAAUUGCUGGAGUAGUGGGUAUUGGCAUCGCCUGAUCUAAAAUUAACUCAAUUUUAAUCCAAUUUGAGCGUCUUGUGUGAUUUCAUUCAUUCAUUGAUUUAUCCGCAACUUUUGUAGGUCUUCAGAUGAGUUGGAGGAAUAUUUCAGAAACCAAAAUUUACUAAACAAAGAGGAUUGAUUCAUUAAAUUCAUUAUUAAGUGACUCAUUCUUCAUCGAGAGUUAAAAACCUCAUUCAAUUUUUUUUUUCAAAAUUUCAUUCGGUAGUUUUUUUAAUAAAGAUCUUAAUUGUCGAUAACGAGAUCCUAAAAUAAAAUUUUAUCUUUAUCGCUUAUCCUUUUCUAAUAAAUUUAUAAAAAAAUUUAAAAAAAAAAAAAAUCUUUUCUUACUUAUGUUUAGAUGACAUUUUCAUUUACAAUGAAUAAUUGUCCAAUUCAUUUCUUUGAUUUUACUACUAACUACAGGUAUCGAAGUAAAUAUUCCAAUAUAAACUUAUAAUCGAUCACACCAACAACAGCAUGACACCAUAAUGGAGCACAAAUAUGUCUUAGUUUCUAAAAAACAAAUUGCAUGUGCUGAAAAGAUCAAUUACAGGAUUAUGCAAUGCAUGAUUCAUUGCUUCAAAGUUUGACAAGCAUCGUCAUUGAUCUGGGAUGCAAAAUUAUUUAUUAUGCUAAUUCAAGUUUUAGAAACUAAUAAAGCUCUUCUCCUUCAGGCUCUCAAUCGUCUCCUUGAUGCUUGUUUCCAAAGGAAUAUAAUCGAGGCCCAAGCUUUUAAACUUUUCCUCGGAGACUUGGCAUACCGGCAUAAAGGGCUUGUCAUCGGCACACCUGCCAACGUUAUAGUCACAGCUUAGUACACCAAAAGGAGAUGGUAGCCACAGAAUGUACUAAAAUUACAGCUUCCUUUUAUAGAAUCAUUUCUUCAGCCAUUAGUGACCGAUGAACAAGCAAUGCCAAAGACCUCGAUACAAUGUACAUGGCAACAAGAACAAGCUGGUCAUAGCCGCUAAAUGAAUUAUACCAGAGGAAGCUAUGCCAGCAUUACAGAAUGUUACUGACUAAUUUAUAUGAUGCACAUUAUCAGAUAUCAAUAUGAUCAGAUGUUCAGAAGUUCUAGAACUCUUUCAAUUCAAAGCAAAAGUUAAGAAUUAUGAACUUCGUACAGUACAACUUAGAAGAACUCGACGAAGAUAUGCUUCGAAAACCAUUCACCUUGUGUCUUGCUGUUGUUGGGUCUUAUUGCUAUUUCAUUACUACUAUGUUUUUAAUUCUAGGAGAGAUGGUUCUAUGUAUUACUUAGAAUUGCACGGAUGACGUUAAAGAGAGUGAAAGUGAAGACAGAAGGAUAAUAAAUAAAAUAAAAUAAAAUAAAGCAAUUGUAUUAUCCAUUGACCUAAACUAAAGAAUAGACAUUAUAGAAGCACACAACAAUUAGACCAUGGGGUAUGCCUAACCUGGAACUUAGAUUUUAUAUCCUAUAUACAUCAAAAUUGCAAUUAUACAAAAUGCCUAAUAAUAGAACCAUAAGCCGUCGUGUUCCAAUUAUUUGGAGUCAUGUAUAAGAUAAUAAUUUUAGUUGAAUAAAAUAUCAUUCAAAUCCUUUUUUAUUAUUGGAAACACACCUAAUUCUCUAUGAUUGAAGUCAUUUUUUUUUAUCCUCCCUAAUGAUUUUGUAUGUUCAUCUCACCAUUCUCAUCUUAGUUACUAAAAUUUUUUGUGCAUAUUCUUUCCAAACAAUCCAAUACUCAGAUUGGUAGCCACAAAACUGCCAAUGCACCUCCCAAUUUUAAUUAUCUAAUUUUUAUUUUAUGAACAAUGUCUUCAUCAAUCUCUCCAUUUUGUUCAACAAUAGAUCCAAGAAUUUUUUUUAUUUUACAAUAAAGGAUAAACACCAUUAAAAAAUUCCAAUACUAUGGGAAGCAUGAAACUUCGAGAGAAAGAUCAGUUACCACCGAGCAAACUCUUCAGAUACAACAGAUAGAAUUUUUUCAUCAAUCAACAAGACUUGUAAACACGACACUUGGAUCACAAGACAAUAAAAGCAACUGAAAAUAGUAACUUACUUAUCAGGGAGUUGAAAAGAAGGAUAAAGUUCAUGUAUGAUCUUCAAAAUCUCUGAGUAAUGAACAACUCUUUCGACAAGACAGUAUCUUCCUGAUGCUGAGGGAAGUUCAAAAGCCAGAACGUGCGCCAUGGCAACAUCUUGAACAUUUACCCACCCAAUAGUUGCAUCAGGAAAGGUGGAGGAACCUAAAGACAAAAAAAAAAACAGAUAGCCAAAGUCAUAAUUCUCUUAUACGAACCAUUUUCUAGAAAAUAAUUACCAAGAUUUGGAAGAAUCAAAACCAUUCUAGGAUAUAGAUCACAACCAAAACAUUCAACACUGGACAUUGAGACAGCAGGCACUUAAAAUACAUGAACAGAACAUGAUCUUGAAAUGUCAUAUUGUUUGGUUGCCUGAAAAAAGCUUAAGUCUGCAUUAACAACAUAUUCCUCCCAUCUUCGACAUAGCCAUCAGGCUACAUUUGCCUACUCUUAAGCAAUAAAUAUUUAAUUUUAAGAUUCAGUAUCCAAAAUCACAUCAUCACUCUAAGUUUGUCUAACCAAAAAAAGAAAAGGCAAAAAAAAAACUUCAUUAAUAGUUCAUACUUAGCAAGUGAAACUUUUCUCAUCUAUUCCUACGUAUUGAACUCAUCGAAAAUCUGAACCUUAACAGCACUGAGCUACUACUAAUAUUUACAAUGGGUAGUCAAAUAAAUAGUGUAUACGCCAAUGAUCUUUUAAAAGAUUAAUAAAUUUUGCACAAAGAACAUAAUCUCAUAACUUCAAACCUAAACAUUAAAUGACCCCAUCUAAUUGUAUUAAAAUUGCAUGGACAAUAUAGAUAUGAACAUAAUAAUCACAUGACUUGCUACAAUGAAGUUGUCAACAAUAAGCGGAGCAAACUAGCAAAUGUUGACGGUCAAAAUGUUGGGAUGCCUCUUAAAUACAGCAAACUUAAUGUAAGAAUUCGGUGUUGUUAAACAUGAAGCUGUAACAACUAAGAACAGAAUGCAGUGGAAAUUGAGAAGAAAUUUGAAAAAGGGAUGCACUGUAAUUAAAUGUUGGCCAUAUCACAAGAAUAAAGGAGGCAAACAAAAUAGAUGUGAUAAAUCUUGAUGCUAAAGCUUCAAGCUGCAAAUACUCUUGCUACUUUAAUCAACUAAAAGAGAAAAAACAAGAUUCUUUCACAGUAGACCAAAACACUCUUUCCCUAAAUACUAUUGUGUUGGAUCAUGCCUUAGAAUCACAUGCAUAACACCAAUAUAUAAUUCAUCAUGCAGACAAAAUAAACAAAUCAGCAAUCUAUAGAGGUAUCAAAUACUCUUCUUUCUUUCCUUUAAGAAGUGAACCAAAAGGAAGGAAAAGGAUGGGAUAAAAAGGAAAGGAGAGAAAGGAAGGUACAUGCAUCUCAAGGUAUCAUCUCCUAUACAUUGCAUUGAUGACCUUUGAUUUGUGACAGAUAUUACAUAUAUAUUCAAGAAGAAUUCAUAGUAUAAGAAUCAUCAGAUCUAUUUGGCCAAAUGAAAAUAUCAUCAUCAAUUUGUACAGUUAUCUGGCAGCUAGAAUGGAAUGAUGCUAAUGGUAAAUGACAAACUUCAAAUGAUGCUAAUGGGCAAACAGAAACCAAGGCCUCAAUAUCUAACAGACACAGCAUGAAAUCACUUGAUAACCAGGCAUCUAGUCAUUUCCAAUAAUAUCAUUUGUGAUUUAGAAGUUGUCAGGAUAUUGGCAAACUUCAUUUGAGACUGACAAAUUGCAGAGUAAAAGUUCCAAACUAGGAUCAGAUUUGAAACAAAUUAAGCUUCAUACCAUUUAUUAGGUUCAGGAUUGCAGCAGAACUUGUGUUAAGUGUUGACUGCAGAAGAGGACCUAUGACCAUUCCUGGAUUUAUCGUGACUAUAUCUAUGCCAUUCUCUUUAGAAAACUUCCAAGCAGCUUCCUCUGCCAAAGUCUUCGAGAGUACAUACCAUUGCUGGGGUAAUAUGAGAGAUCUUAGAAAACAUGCAUAAUAAAAAGUUGAAUUUUUUUAUUGAAGGCAUCUAUAAAGAAAAAAGAUUUGAGAUGUAAUAAAUGUAAAUCCAAAGAAAUUAACUAAUAACAAACAAAUAGAAGGUGCAACAAUACAGACACGGAAAUUGUUGGAUUUUUUUUUUUUGACAUGGACAUUGUUAUUUAUGAUAAUUCCAGUCGAAACAUAAAUAUGAAUAGAUUAGAGACUUACUGGGAGGUUUUAAGCAGGCCAGGUAUUGUCACUUCACUAAACGCACCAUGUUGCAGAAUUCAGAGUCUAAUUAUUUUUUGAGGCAAUAUAUUUGGCCAAAUUAGUAAAUCAUAAUACUAGAAACCUGAGGACAAUCAGUACUAGAUAUUAUGAUUUAAUAUCUUUUUAUUUCUUUCUCAUUCCCAACCCAGAGAAUCCACUGCCAAGGCUGAAACGGAGUAGCUUUCAGCACCACAUGGACCACAACCAGAGUACUGCUAUAUUACACUGCUAUACUACUCUGCUACACAUAAGUAUUUAGGUGUUUCUUUAUGACAGACCAUCAUCCAGAUAGAAUGGAUUUUAUUAAUUGGUAUUCAUUAUUUUCUUCUAGUGAUAAUUUACAUGCAGGACUGAUCUGAUCCUAGGAUGCUACAAUCCCUUCCAAGCAGAAACCAAGACUAUGAGGUGGUACUAUCUCUUUCAAACUAACGCCAAACCAUCAUCUUCACACUUGAACAGGACAUAAAAUCUCAGCCAGGAGAAAUCAAGCAUCAUCCUGAAGACCAAUUUAAGAUUGUAUCAUACAACUUUCAGUCUAGCUAGCAUGGACAUGCAAUCAGUCUUCAGUUAUUAUAACCCACAUAUAGCUGCCGUCAUAACUUCAACAGUAUGGUUCUCCAAUAUCAUCCAGCAGACUGUAUAUUGUAUUCAGAAGGUUACUAAAUAAACUUGUCUCACAAGCUCCGCAUAAUAUUGUGUACAUUAUCUGGUGUGUUGCGAAAACAUGACAGAAAGGUUUUCUAAAAUAAAGGAAUUUUUUGGUAAUAAAUUAAAAUUGUAAAAAGGUUGUGGCCAAGGAUUGAAACAUNNNNNNNNNNNNNNNNNNNNNNNNNNNNNNNNNNNNNNNNNNNNNNNNNNNNNNNNNNNNNNNNNNNNNNNNNNNNNNNNNNNNNNNNNNNNNNNNNNNNNNNNNNNNNNNNNNUAUAUAUAUAUAUAUAUAUAUAUAUAUAUAUAUAUAUAUAUAUAUAUAUAUAUAUAUAUAUAUAUAUAAUAUUUUAUUUAUAUAUCUAUUUAUUUAUAUAUUUAUAUAUAUAUAAUUUAAAAAAAAAAAGUGUGAUGUUGCCAGACGGGGCGACGUCACCGAGGCGACAUCGCAGGAAAAACGAGGUGACGUCGCUUUAUAUAUAUAUAUAUAUAUAUAGAGAGAGAGAGAGAGAGAGAGUCCGAUAGUGAGUAAUCCACGUACCGGUUUACUGUCGGAUCAAUACGUAUCGUCCGUACCGAGUGAUAUCAUUCAAAAUUGUAUAUCUUGGUUAUGACCGUAAAGUACAGUAACUUUCUAUAAAAAAAAAUAUAGGGAGCACUGAAAUAGAAUAUAGAUAAAUUAAAACCAAUGACAUGAUUGCAGCAGAAAAUAUUCUACAGAAGCAAUAAAACUAUUCAGUACAUACUGUCAGAUACCUUUUGCUGCUCGCAAACCUCGGGACUAGAAAACCAUGUCUCAUCAACAACUACAUCAGGAGUUGGUGGUUUACUAUUGUAUAAAACUGCAGCCAUUGAUGAUGUCACCACUACCUUUUUCACAGACCACUUCUUACAGGAUGCCAAAACAUUGAGUGUGCCCUUCACUGCUGGCUCAAUUAACUCAGCCUAAAAUAAAAGUAAAUAAAUCAGAUAAAGCUUGACAUCAUUUGCAAACUUAGAUCAAGAACCCCAUGGUCAGAUAUGAGACAAAAGAGAAAAUGAAAGACAUGAAAAGCAAGCAAUGUCCUCUUGAUAAGCCACAUUUAAUAGCAGAUACUCCAAAACCGUUGUAUCAUGUUACAGAAAUCAAUAACAAUUAUUUCUUUGGUGGAACUCUUAGUGGGUCUUAUGGUUUUGUAAUAACAGAUGAUAGAAAUAGAAAGCAAUAAAAUUACGAAAACAGUCCUUUCUAUAUGCUUCUACUGAGUUUUCAAGGAAAAAAAUAACCCAAAAAUAUUGCAUUUUACAUGGGGCAAUUUAUUAAUCACACAGUUUACAAGGAAACAAAGUCAUUUAUGUAAAAUGGAUGGUGAAGGGCCAUUGGAUGACUCUCAUGUUUCAUGCCGUUACCAAACAGAUUCUUCACUGGGAUACCUUCACGCUUCAUUGCUAUUACCUAACAGACGCUAUACUGGCAUUUCACCUAGACAUCAGCUAUUAGGUAUAACCUUGUUUGAUAAGAAAACAUAAAAAGGAAAGGGAUAUUCUGAAACUUUUAUAACUGCCUUAAUAUGUAAGAUGUUGCAUUUAGGGACAAGCUCAGAAAGCAAGGUUCAAAGAGAAAAUGUAAGUGACUGAGCAUAAUUAUAUGGGAAUAAAUAAUAGAGUUUUGAAAUUAAAGAAAUUUGUCAAAAUUAAACAAUAUAGUAACAUUGACAAGUUGGUUUGGCAGUAGAGAACUAUAGAUCAUAAAUGUAAACCUGUGGAUUCGUGAGUGCAAGAUAUAAAGGAGAUGCAGUGUGAAAAACACCAUCACAACCCUCAACCACAGCAUCAAAGGACCCCUCUUCUAAUAAGUUGGCUUUAUACAAAAGCAACCUCUCCGUGGCUCCCUCCAGAGCACGCAAGUGCUGAGUCUUCUUUUGAUCAGCUGACAAGAAUGAUUUCAAAAUAUUGAAAAGAAGACAAAAGAAUUAAGGUACAGAGGAAGUAUACAAAUAUAUAAUCUUAUAUCAUCAAUAUAAUUAUUAUAUUAAGGGUUCCAACAUGAUUUAAGUCAUCAAUAUUAAAGGAAGAUCAGAUUACAGUCAGGGUAAUUUAGGUUUCUUCCCACAAGAUAUAUCCAAUAAACCUGGUGUUUUAGGCAAAGGCUAUGAAUGUAAAGCAAUAGGCAAACAGAGUAGGAAUAUUUGCGUGCAUAUUUACAAUAAAAGAUUCUUUCAAGGAAACAAACAUCGAGCAGGAAAAUAUCAUGUAAAUCAGUUUUCCAUGGAUUGAUGCAAUUGAGCAGGAAAAUACUUCAAAACUACUACUCUCUUGUUUAUGCAAACUGUAGCCAAUUGAAAAAUAUUAAAUAAGUAUAUUCUUAUAAGCCCCCAUCUAAAUUUUAAGCCCAUUAAUCAGAAACUGUAAUCAUUUGCACAUUCAGGAUUGUUACUUGUUUUCAUUUCUAAUAGUCGGAUACUCAGCCGAAUGAUGAUUACCUUCAAUCUUUUUGCUCUGUUUUUUAAUUUUGAAAGUUACACACACCACAAACAGACAUCAUUUUGGAUAUACCCCAAGAACAGUUUCAUAUUUGAUCAAUUCAGAUCAUGAUGCAGAUGUGUGACUCACAACAUCCGGAAUAAAUAACAUAGGCUUCCCACUCCUUUGUUCUUAGAAUUCGAGCUCACGCAAUCAUCUUGUGGGAUUGCAAAAGGUCCGAAAACAUUUAGAAGGGAAGAGAUCCAAACGAUCGAGAGUGUGCUAGAUGAGUCGAAUCUACUCUUCAGAAGAAUACCGAGUUUAGCACGAACCAGGGUCACGCACGGAGGCGCGUACGGUGUAGCCGCGCUGGAGGAGGAGCUUCACAAGCCACGAGGCGAUGAAGCCGGACGCGCCCGUGACACAAACCACCUUCCCGCCGCCGCUCAUCGUGACCACAGCUCUCGCUCGGCCGGUCGCUGUUUUAGUGGAAGAGCAGGCAAAGGAUCGCAGUGGUCUGUCGAGAAGGCCGCUCCUCUGCGGCAUAAAUAGGGCGCCAAAGGCGGAAGAUAAUUAUCGGACGGCCAACUCCAUCCGCUGCUCUAACACUAACAUCACAUGACGUUACGAAUUACGACACCUGCCUGCGGCGGCACAUCGCAUCUUGCUUGUCGAGAUGGGUGAUAGUAUAAACGGAAAAGGGACAAUUCAAGUAAUCUUACCGCUUGUUUUGGACAUGAAUUUAACCAUGGAAUGAUCAGUCUGCUGACAGAGUGCCUAUCGCUAAACGCUCGUAAUCUUUUGUCAUGGUGUGCCUGUUGUGCGUGCAUUUUAUGAACUCCGAAGUCAACCCAGCUUGGGUGUUUUGGAUCCAGAAGGAAGAAGCAUGUUGCUCCUGCUGAGCUAUGCCCCAUUCUGGUAACACUUCACAAGAUAUUGAGGAGACAAAAGAUGGAUGAUUAUUCAACAUUUCCCCUGCUUAUUUCAAGUCCGUUCAUAUGUUUGGAUUCACAAGAUUUCACUUUGGUCACUGAUUCGGGUGCGAUCCUUCCAGCACAGAAAGACAAAACAAUGAAUCGAUCCAACCGAGAUGGCACUGAAUCAUGCUUUCGACAGGCCAUCAAUUUUGGGUCAGCCAUGACCGACGAUGUCGACUUCGAUGCGCUGUCAUGGUCGUUGUUCAGCUUGAUGAGUUUUGCAGUCGGAGUAAUAGGGUCUUUUUUCUUCUGUUGUCUGAAUCAAAUGUCAGAUGAGUUGGAGGAAUACAUCAGAAACCAAAUUGACUCAAAAAAAUUUACUUACUAAAGAGGGUUAAUCCAUUGAACUCACUAUUAAGUGACUUAUUCUUCAUCAAGAUAUCGAGAGUUUAAAAACUUCAUUCAGUAGUUUUUUUAAUAGCGAUCUUAAUUAUCGGUAUCAAUGUCCUAAAAUGAAAUCUUAUCUUCAUCACUUAUCUUUUUCUAAUAAAUUUACAAAAUUUUCAAAAAUAAGAAUAAAUUUUAUUUUUAUUGCUUCAAAGUUCUCUUCUUAUUUAUGUUUAGAUGACAUUUUCAUUUAGAAUGAAUAAUUGUCCAAUCCAUUUCUUUGAUUUUACUUCUCAUCCUCAUAGAGAUAUUUAGUUUGUGUAAUAUGAGGAUGGAACAAGAUAACAACUAACCACACUUAUAUUAUAUGAAGAACACAUUCCAAUAUAAACUUAUAAUCUAUCACACCAACAACAGGCAUGACACCAUAAUGGAGCACAAAUAUGUCCUCGUUUCUAAAAAACAAAUUGCAUGUGCUGAAAAGAUCAAUUACAGGAUUAUGCAAUGCAUGAUUUACUGCUUCAAAGUUCGACAAGCAUCGCCAUUGAUCUGGGAUGCAAAAUUAUUUAUUAUGCUAAUUCAAGUUUUAGAAAUUAAUAAAGUUCUUCUCCUUCAGGCUCUCGAUCGUUUCCUUGAUGCUUGUUUCCAGAGGGAUGUAGUAGAGGCCCAAGCUUUUAAACUUUUCCUUGGAGACUUUGUAUACCGGCACAAAGGGCUUGUCAUCUGCACACCUGCCAACGUUAUGGUCACAGCUUAGUACACCAAAAGGAGAUGGUAGCCACAGAAUGUACUAAAAUUACAGCUUCCUUUUAUAGAAUCAUUUCUUCAGCCAUUAGUGACCGAUGAACAAGCAAUGGCAAAGACCUCGAUACAAUGUACAUGGCAAGAAGAACAAGCUGGUCAUAGCCACUAAAUGAAUUAUACCAGAGGAAAGCUAUGCCAGCAUUACAGAAUGUUACUGACUAAUUUAUAUGGUGCACAUUAUCAGAUAUCAAUAUGAUCGGAUGUUCAGAAGUUCUAGAACUCUUUCAGUUCAAAACAAAAGUUAAGAACUAUGAACUUCGUACAGUAGAACUUAGCAGAACUCAGACGAAGAUAUGCUUUGAGAACCAUUCUCCUUGUGUCUUGCUGUUGUUGGGUCUUAUUGCUAUUUCAUUACUACUAUGUUUUUAAUUCUAGGAGAGAUGGUUAUAUGUAUCACUUAGAAUUGCACGGAUGACGAUAAAGAGAGUGAAAGUAAAGACAGAAGGAUAAUAAAUAAAAUAAAAUAAGUAAUUGCAUCAUCCAUUGGCCUAAUCUAAAGAACAGACAUUAUAGAAGCACACAACAAUGAGACCAUGGGGUAUGCCUAAUCUGGAACUUAGAUUUUAUAUCCUAUAUACAUCAAAAUUGCAAUUAUACAAAAUGCCUAAUAAUAAAACCAUAAGCCGUCGUGUUCCAAACAAAAUUAUUUGAAAUCAGUUAUAUGGAUCUUUCCCUAUCAUUAAGUCAUGUAUAAGAUAAUAAUUUUAGAUGAAUAAAAUAUCAUACAAAUCCUUUUUUAUUAUUACUACUAACAUCUUCUUAAGUCGUCCGCUAACCCUCUUUCCACCACAACUAUUAAUUGAGUCAUCUUUUCAAACUAUAACGUACGUGUUUACUUUGGACAUGUUCAUCUUAAUUUGGAUACUCCUCGUUUUAUAUUUUAUCGUAAACACACCUAAUUCUCUAUGAUUGAAGUCAUUUUUUUUUUAUCCUCCCUAAUAAUUUUGUAUGUUCAUCUCAGUUACUAAACUUUUUUGUACAUAUUCUUGCCAAACAAUCCAAUACUCAGAUUGGUAGCCACAAAACCACCAAUGCACCUACCAAUUUUAAUUAUCUAAUUUUUAUUUUAUAAACAAUGUCUUCAUCAAUCUCUCCAUGUUGUUCAACAAUAGAUCCAAGAUUUUUUUUAUUUUACAAUAAAGGCUAAGCACCAUUAAAAAAUUGCAAUACUAUGAGAAGCAUGAAACUUGAAAGAAAGAUCAGUAACCACCGAGCAAACUCUUCAGAUAUAACGGAUAGAAUUUUGUCAUCAAUCAACAAGACUAGUAGACACGGCACUUGGAUCACAAGACAAAAAAAGCAACCGAAAAUAGUAACUUACUUAUCAGGGAGUUGAAAAGAAGGAUAAAGUUCAUGUAUGAUCUUCAAAAUCUCUGAGUAAUGAACAACUCUUUCGACAAGACAGUAUCUUCCUGAUGCUGAGGGAAGUUCAAAAGCGAGAACAUGCGCCAUGGCAACAUCUUGAACAUUUACCCACCCAAAGGUUGCAUUAGGAAACGUGGAGGAACCUAAAGACAAAAAGAACAGAUAGCCAAAGUCAUAAUUCUCUUAUACGAACCAUUUUCUAGAAAAUAAUUACCAAGACUUGGAAGAAUCAAAACCAUUCUAGGAUAUAGAUCUCAACCAAAACAUUCAACACUGCACAUUGAGACAGCAGGCACUUUAAAUACAUUGACAGAACAUGAUCUUGAUAUGUCGUAUUGUUUGGUUGCCAGAAAAAUGAUAAAGUCAGCAUUAACAACAUAUUCUUCCCAUCCUCGACGUAGCCAUCAGGCUACACUUGCCUACUCCUAAGCAAUAAAUAUUUAAUUUUAAGAUUCAGUAUCCAAAAUCACAUCAUCACCAAGGUCCGCAAUACCGUACCGUACCGGAGUUUCGACCUGGGCUCGGUACCGGUAUGGUAUGGUAUACCGAGCGGUACACCCAGGUGUACCGCUCGGUAUAUUUAGGCGUGCCGACUGUAGCACUGCUACAGUGCUACAGUGCUGCGACAGUAUCUGGCAGAUCUAUUUGGCCAAAUGAGAAUAUCAUCAUCAAUUUGUACAGUUAUCUGGCAGCUAGAAUGGAAUGAUGCUAAUGGGCAAACAGAAACCAAGGCCUCAAUAUCUAACAGAGACAGCAUGAAAUCACUUGAUAACCAGCCAUCUAGUCAUUUACAACAAUAUCAUUUGCGAUUUAGAAGUUGUCAGGAUAUUAGAAAACUUCAUUUGAGACUGACAAAUUGCAGAGUAAAAGUUCCACACUAGGAUCAGAUUUGAAACAAAUUAAGAUUCAUACCAUUUAUUAGGUUCAGGAUUGCAGCAGAACUUGUGUUAAGUGUUGACUGCAGAAGAGGACCUGUGACCAUUCCUGGAUUUAUCGUGACUAUAUCUAUGCCAUUCUCUUUAGAAAACUUCCAAGCAGCUUCCUCUGCCAAAGUCUUCGAGAGUACAUACCAUUGCUGGGGUAAUAUGAGAGAUCUUAGAAAACAUGCAUAAUAAAAAGUUGAUUUUUUUUAUUGAAGGCAUCUAUAAAGAAAAAAGAUUUGAGAUGUAAUAAACUUAAAUCCAAAGAAAAUAACUAAUAACAAACAAAUAGAAGGUGCAACAAUACAGACACGGACAUUGUUGGAUUUUUUUUUUUUUUGACAUGGACAUUGUUAUUUAUGACAAUUCCAGUCGAAAUAUAAAUAUGAAUAGAUUAGAGACUUACUGGGAAGUUUUAAGUAGUCCAUGUAUUGUCACUUCACUAAACGCACCAUAUUGCAGAAUUCAGAGUCCAAUUAUUUUUUGAGGCAAUAUGUUUGGCCAAAUUAGUAAAUCACAAUACUAAAAACCUGAGUACAAUCAGUACUAGAUACUAUGAUUUAAUAUCUUUUUAUUUCUUUCUCAUUCCCAACCCAGAGAAUCCACUGCCAAGGCUGAAACAGUCUGCUUUCAGCACCACAUGGACCACAACCAGAGUACUGCUAUAUUACACUGCUAUACAUAAGUAUUUAGGUGUUCCUUCUUGCCAGACUAUCAUCCAGAUAGAAUGGGUUUUAUUAGUUGGUAUUCAUUAUUUUCUUUUAGUGAUAAUUUACAUGCAGGACUGAUCUUAUCCUAGGAUGCUACAAUCCCUUCCAAGCUGAAAAAAAGACUACAAGGUGGUCCAAUCUCUUUCAAACUAAUGCCAAACCAUCAUCUUCACACUUGAAUGGGACAUAAAAUCUCAGCCAGGAGAAAUCAAGCAUUAUCUUGAAGACCAAUUUAAGAUUGUAUAAUACGACUUUCAGCCUAGCUAGCAUGGCCAUGACAAUCGGUCUUCAGUUAUUAUAACCCACAUAUAGCAGUCUUCAUAACUUUAACAGCAUGGUUCUCCAAAAUCAUCCAAGUGACUGUAUAUUGUAUUCAGAAGGUUACUAGAUAAACUUGUCUCACAACCUUCGCAUAAUAUUGUGUAUAUUAUCUGGUGUGUUGCAAAUACAUGACAGAAAGGUUUUCUAAAAUAAAGGAAUCUUUAGACAUUAAAUUAGCAUUUUACAAAGGUUAUGGCCAUGAUGUGCGGUACCUUACGAUAAAAUAAUAUAGGGAGCACUGAAAUAGAAUAUAGAUACAUUAAAACCUAUGACAUGAUUGCAGUUGAAAAGAUAAUACACAAACAAUAAAACUAUCCAGUACGUACUGUCAGAUACCUUUUGCUGCUCGCAAACCUCAGGACUUGAAAACCAUGUCUCAUCAACAACUACAUCAGGAGUUCGUGGUUUACUAUUGUAUGCAACAGCAGCCAUUGAUGAUGUCACCACGACCUUUUUCACAGAUGAAUUCUUACAGGAUGCCAAAACAUUGAGUGUGCCCUUCACUGCAGGCUCAAUUAACUCAGCCUAAAAUUUUAGUAAAUAAAUCAGAUAAAGCUUGACAUCAUUUGCAAAUCAGAUAUGAGAUAAAAGAGACAAUGAUAGACAUGAAAAGCAAGCAAUGUCCUCUUGAUAAGCAACAUCUAAUAGCAGAUACUCCAAAACCAUUGUAUCAUGUUACAGAGAAUCAACAACAACUAUUUCUUUGGUGGAACUCUUUGUGGGUCUUAUGGUUUUGUAAUAACAGCUGAUAGAAAUAGAAAGCAAUAAAAUUAUGAAAACAGUCCUUUCUAUAUGCUUUUACUGAGUUUUCAAGGCAAAAAUAACCCAAAAAUAUUGCAUUUUACAUGGGGCAAGUUACUAAUCACACAGUUUACAAAGAAACGAACUCAUUUAUGUAAAAUGGAUGGUGAAGGGCCAUUGGAUGACCCUCAUGUUCCAUGCCAUUACCAAACAGAUUUACACUGGGAUACCUUCAUGCUCCGUUGCUGUUACCUAACAGACGCUGUACUGGCAUUUCAACUAGAUAUCAUCUAUUAGGUAUAACCUUGUUUGAUAAGAAAACAUAAAAAGGAAAGGGAUAUUCCAAAACUUUUAUAACUGCCUUAAUAUGUAAGUGUUGCAUUUAGGGACAAACUCAGAAAGCAAGGUUCAAAGAGACAAUGUAAGUGAAUGAGCGUAAUUAUAUGUGCAUAAAUAAUAGAGUUGUGAAAUUAAAGAAACUUGUCAAAAAUUAAACAAUAUAGUAACAUUGACAGGUUGGUUUGGCAGUAGAGAACUAGAGAUCAUAAAUG